rnacentral:lncRNA from 1 species
GUAUCGGGGGGGGGUCUUUUUGGGGGGGGGGGGGGCGCACAAUGUGACCUUGGGACGGCCGGGAGCGCCUAUGGGGCGGCAACGCAGACGGGGGGGCCCACAGCCGCGCCCCACAACUGCAGCCAUAGGUGGGAGCCCCACAACUGCGCCCCAUAGCUGUGAGCCCCACAACUGCGCCCCAUAACUGCACCCCGUCACUGUGAGCCCAUAACUGCACCCCCCAACUGCACCCCACAACCGCAGCCCAUAGCUGUGAGCCCCACAGCUGCGCCCCAUAACUGCAGCCCCACAACUGCAGCUCAUAGAUGGGAGCCCCACAACUGCGCCCCCAUAACUGCACCCCAUCACUGCGCCCCAUAGCUGUGAGCCCCACAACCUGCGCCCCAUUGCUGUACCCCAAAACCGCAGCCCAUAGCUGUGAGCCCCACAACUGCGCCCCAUAACUGCACCCCAUCACUGCGCCCCAUAGCUGUGACCCCACAACUGCGCCCCACAAACUGCAGCUCAUAGAUGUGAACCCCACAACUGCGCCCCCAUAACUGCACCCCCUCACUGUGAGCCCCACAACUGCAAGCCCAUAGGUGGGAGCCCCACAGCUGCACCCCAUAACUGCACCCCACAACUGCAGCUCAUAGCUGUGAGCCCCACAACUGCUCCCCAUCACUGUGAGCCCCAUAACUGCGCCCCACAACUGCAGCCCAUAGGUGGGAGCCCCACAGCUGCACCCCAUAACUGCACCCCACAACUGCAGCUCAUAGAUGGGAGCCCCACAACUGCGCCCCAUUGCUGCACCCCAUAACUGCACCCCAUAGCUGUGAGCCCCACAACUGCGCCCCAUCGCUGCACCCCACAACUGCAGCCCAUAGAUGGGAGCCCCACAACUGCACCCCAUCACUGUGAGCCCCACAACUGCGCCCCAUAAUUGCAGCCCAUAGAUGGGAGCCCCACAACUGCACCCCAUAACUGCACCCCAUCACUGUGAGCCCCACAACUGCACCCCACAACUGCACCCCACGUGUGGGGCAGCGGCUCCAUGCCAUGCAGUGCCGUGCAGUGCCGUGCAGUGCAGCUCUAUGCAGCGCCGUGCAGCUCAGUGCAGUGCAGCAGUGCAGCUCAGUGCAGCUCAGAGCCAUGCAGCUCAGUGCAGUGCAGCUCAGUGCAGUGCAGCAGUGCAGCUCAGUGCAGUGCAGCUCAGUGCAGUGCAGCAGUGCAGCUCAGUGCAGUUCAUUGCAGCUCAAUGCAGCUCAGUGCAGCUCAGCACCAUGCAGCCCAUUGCAGCCCAUUGCAUCCCAUAGCAGCCCCUUGCAGCUCAUUGCAGCCCACUGCAGCCCCUUGCAGCUCAUUGCACUCCACUGCAGCCCAUUGCAGCUCAUUGCAGCCCAUUGCAUCUCACUGCAGCCCAUAGGAGCCCAUUGCAUCUCACUGCAGCCCAUAGCAGCCCAUUGCAGCCCCUUGCAGCCCACUGCAGCUCAAUGCAACUCCGUGCAGCUCAGUGCAUCCCAUAGCAGCCCAAAGCAGCUCAAUGCAGCCCACUGCAUCCCAUUGCAUCCCACUGCAGCCCAUUGCAGCCCCUUUGCAGCCCAGCACUUUGCAGCUCGGUGUGAUGCAGCUCAAUGCAGCUCAGUGCAAUGCAGCCCAUUGCACCCCCCUGCAGCUCAAUGCAGCCCUUUGCAGCCCAUUGCGGCUCAGUGCGAUGCAAUGCAGCUCAGUGCAUCCAUUGCAGCCCACGGCAGCUCAGUGCAAUGCAGCUCAGUGCAGCCCACAGCAGCUCAGUGUCAUUCAUUGCAGCUCAAUGCAGCUCAGCAUCGUGCAGUCCAUUGCAGCUCAGUGCAGCGCAGCUCAUUGCAGCCCAUUGCAGCUCAGUGCAGCUCAGUGCAUCCCAUUGCAGCUCAAUGCAUCCCACUGCAGCUCAAUGCAUCCCAUUGCAGCCCAUAGCAGCUCAUUGUAGCCCAUCACAGCUCAAUGCAGCUCAGUGCAGUCCAUUGCAGCCCAUAGCAGCUCAAUGCAACUCAGCGCCGCUCAGCACCAUUGCAGCUCAAUGCAGCUCAGUGCAGCUCAGUGCAGCCCAUAGCCCCCCAUGGCCCUCCAUAGCACCCCACAGCCCCCCAUAUCACCCCAUAUUAUCUCACAGCCCCCCAUAUCACCCCAUAUCCCCCCACAGCCCCCCAUAGCCCCCCAUAUGACCCCACAGCCCCCCAUAGCCCCCUAUAUAACCUCACAGCCCCCCACAUC